UACGUAGGGUGCAAGCGUUAAUCGGAAUUAAUGGGCGUAAAGCGUGCGCAGGCGGUGAUGUAAGACAGGUGUGAAAUCCCCGGGCUUAACCUGGGAACUGCAUUUGUGACUGCAUCGCUGGAGUGCGGCAGAGGGGGAUGGAAUUCCGCGUGUAGCAGUGAAAUGCGUAGAUAUGCGGAGGAACACCGAUGGCGAAGGCAAUCCCCUGGGCCUGCACUGACGCUCAUGCACGAAAGCGUGGGGAGCAAACAGG
rnacentral:rRNA from 1 species